rnacentral:misc_RNA from 1 species
GAAAUUUCUCUGAAAAUUAUUAGAAAAGACUGGUUGAAAAGUCUUCAGAGGCUGCCUGCUUUCACCCUUUGUUGAUGGUUCUAUUGUGCAUAUAGAAUUACAUCGAAUUUCAGCAGCUUAAAAAAAAAAAAAAGAGAGCGCAACUCUUUAGACGAUCUGGGUUAUCUCCAAACUUCUAACUGUUUAAGCGAAUGGCAGUAGUUGGAGAGACUUUUCUUUCUGCUGUUUUCCAGAUGGCGCUUGAUACUUUGGCUUCAACGAUCCUGAUGGAAUUCGGGUGCCGGUUUGAUAUUGAUAAAGAUCUCAAGAGACUGCGCAGAACCCUGUCAAAAGUCCAACGUGUGCUUAAUGAUGCUGAGGCAAAGCAGAUCAGUGAUCAGGAAGUCAAAUUUUGGCUUAAUGACCUCAAAAAAGUGUUCUUUGAUGCAGAUGACGUGAUAGAUGAAGUUGCAACAGAAGCUUUUCGCUUUAAUCAGCAGAAAAAGGUAACCAACUUGCCCCCUAUAUCCAAAGAUUCUAUUUUAGAACUUGGGAUAGCUCCUAAGAUAAAGGAAAUCAAUGAGAAGUUAGAUGAAAUUGCAAAAGAUGGGGCUGAUCUUGGUUUGAGGGAGGGAGUUGGCGUAGCUUGGACAGAAUCGAGGGACAGGGACAGGGAGAGACUGCAGACUAGCUCCUUGAUAGAUGAAUCUCGGGUUUUUGGUCGGGAGGAGGACACGAAAAAGAUUGUAAAGUUGUUAGUGUCUGAUGAGUUCCACGGAAAUGAUGUUGCUGUUCUUCCCAUUGUGGGGAUGGGAGGCCUGGGCAAGACAACACUUGCUCAGCUUGUAUUCAAUGAUCCCUUGAUUACUAAAGUUUUCGAGCUCAGAAAGUGGAUUUGCGUCUCAGACGACUUCAAUUUCAAUCCUCGAAGGCUUACGAAAUCAAUUCUGGAGUCGAUUGAUGGGAAAAGUCGCGAUCUGGUGGAUUUGGAUACCCUUCAAAACUGUCUUCGUGAUAAGUUGAAGGGGAAAAAGUUCUUGGUUGUGCUUGAUGAUGUGUGGACUGAGAAGGAGAGAGAAUGGGAAACUUUGCGCCUUCCUUUCAGAGCAGGAGAAUUGGGAAGUAAAAUCAUCGUAACUACCAGAAGUAAAAGAGUUGCAUCAAUCAUGGGCACACUUCCAACUCACCAUUUAGAAGUUCUAUCGGCUGAUGAUUGCUGGUUGUUGUUCAAGCAAAGGGCAUUCAUAGAUGGGAAUGAGGCUGCACAUCCAAACUUAGUAUCAAUUGGCAAGGAAAUUGUAAAGAAAUGUCGAGGUUUGCCUUUAGCGGCCAAGACACUUGGAGGACUCCUGCGUGCAAAGACUGAAGUUCCUGAAUGGGAGAAUAUUUUGAAUAGUGAUAUAUGGGAGUUGGAAUAUGAGGAAAAUGAAAUCUUUCCAGCUUUGAGGUUAAGCUACAAUCAUCUUCCAGCACAUCUUAAGCAGUGUUUCAUGUACUGCUCAAUAUUUCCAAAAGAUUACAACUUCGAUAAAGAAAAUUUAGUCUUGUUGUGGAUGGCAGAGGGAUUUGUUCAUUGUAUGGGAAAGAGGCGCUUGGAAGAUGUUGCAUCUGACUAUUUUGACGAUUUAUUGUUGAGGUCUUUGUUUCAACAAUCCAAAACCGAUUCCUCAAAGUUUGUUAUGCAUGACUUGAUUCAUGACCUGGCGCAGUCUGUGGCUGGGGAAAUGUGCUUCAGAUUGGAGCCAGAGAAACUUGAGAAUAUCCCAGAGAUGGUUUGGCAUUCAUCUGUGCUAGUUGACACAUUUAAGUCGGUUACAUUUGAGGCCUUGUACACAAAAAAAAGCUUGCGGACAAUGCUUCUACUGUGCAAUAAAAGUUCACCAAGAGAGAACUCUAAUGUGACGGUCCCCCAUGACCUGGUGUGCACUUUGAGAUGUUUACGUUCGUUGGAUAUGAGUCACAUCUCCAUAAAAGAGUUACCAGAUUCAGUUGGUAAUUUGAUGCAUAUGAGGUAUCUUGACCUCUCUCACACUGACAUCAAGGAGCUACCUGAAUCAAUUUGCAGCCUCUGUAAUCUGCAGACACUAAUUCUUGUCAAUUGCAGCAAGCUUCUUAUUUUGCCAAAAGGUACAAAAGAUUUGAUGAAUCUACGUCAUCUUGAUUUGACGGGAUGUUGGCAUCUCAGAUCCAUGCCGCCAUAUUUUGGGAGACUUACUUCUUUGCAAAGGCUGCAUAGGUUUAUUGCUGGAAAUGAAGUCGGGAGUGGAAUUAGUGAGUUGAAGGACAUGAAUGAACUUCGAGCUACACUUUGCAUUGAUAGGGUUGAGGACAUUAUUAAUAUUGAAGAUGCAAAGGAGGCUAACUUGAAGAGGAAGCCAUAUAUACACAAGUUGGUGCUGAGAUGGAGUAGAAGUCAACGUGUGCGGGAUGCGAUUGAUGAGGAAUUGCUUGAAUGUCUUGAACCUCAUACCAGCCUUAGAGAAUUAACCAUUGAUGUAUAUCCUGGUGCCAAGCUUCCGAACUGGAUGGGAGAUUCACUACUGUCUCAUUUAGAGAGCAUUGAAUUCAUCCAUUGUAGCUACUGUAAAACCCUCCCUCCUCUUGGUCAGCUACCGUUUCUCAAAUAUCUCACCAUAUGUAUGAUGCUAGAGCUCGAAAGCAUUGGUCGUGAGUUCUAUGGGAAUGGUAAGAUUAAGGGGUUCCCUUCUUUGAAGAAACUAAAGCUUGAAGAGAUGAGAAGUUUGAAGGAAUGGGAAGAGAUUGAUCAUGGAGAAUUCCCUGUGCUUGAGCAGCUUGAAGUUUUGAACUGUCCCAGCAUUACCAACCUUCCAAAAUUUCCAUCACUGAGUGAUCUGUUGCUAGAUAAUUGUCAUGAGAGAGUAUUGUGUUCAGUGCAUUUCCUCACCUCCUUAUCCUCUUUGGAGAUUUUGAACUUCCGGAGAGUAGAUUUAUUACCUGAUGGUCUUCUUCAACCACUAACUGCCCUGAAAAAACUCAAAAUCAAGAACUUGCACCGAUUCAAGGCAUUGCAAAAUGAGUUAGGUGUACAAGAUCUUCAGUCUCUCCAAAGAUUGGAAAUCUCAUGCUGUCCAAAGCUGCUGUCAUUUGCUGAAAAGGGGCUUCCCAGUUCGCUGCAACAUCUUUCAAUUGACAUGUGCAAUACUUUGAAGAAUCUACCUAGUGGACUACAAAAUGUAUUCUCUCUUGAGGAGCUGCAUAUUUCCAAAUGUCCUAAAAUUGUGUCUUUUCCCGAAGAGAAGCUAGGAAUCUCACUCAAGAAUUUGAGGCUUUUAUCAUGUGCCAACCUUGAAUCACUUCCUGUGCGUCUCCAUGAAGUCCGAAAUCUUGAAAGUUUGUCUAUACAAUCUUGCCCAAAACUUGCAUGCUUACCAGCUUCAGGGUUGCCAGCUUCGCUUCGUUCAUUGUCUAUCAUGGAGUGUGCUUUACUGAAAGAGAGAUGUGCAGAAGGUGGUGAAGAUUGGCCAAAGAUAGAACAUAUUCCAGAAAAGCAUAUUAAGAGUGUUUUGAAUGAAUGAUGUCGAAGCUUUGAAAUGAAGCUGCAGGGAGAAAACAAAGAGAAGCAAGAGAAGAAGGAUCUGUUUGCGCAGCAGCAUCAUUAGGAUAGAUGUUUUGAAAGAUAUGGGCAGUUGGGCACCUUAUAGAUCAAGUCCAGUAAAUGUUUCCGGAGCUAUGAGUUUCUUCAUUAUUUUCAUUGCAUAUCUACUUCAAUUGUAUUAGAACUUAUUCAAUUUUUGAUCUUCAUCUAUUUAUGUAGAGCUUGACUUGUACUCUUUUCCUUUUUCAUUUGUGAUGAUCCUUUCGUUGAAUUCCAUUCUCUUAAGGGGGAAUCAAAAUCGCAUGCACAGG